rnacentral:rRNA from 1 species
GACGAACGCUGGCGGCGUGCUUAACACAUGCAAGUCGAACGGAAAGGCCCCCACCUUGGUGGGGGUGCUCGAGUGGCGAACGGGUGAGUAACACGUGGGUGAUCUGCCCUGUACUUCGGGAUAAGCUUGGGAAACUGGGUCUAAUACCGGAUGGGACCAUGGUUUAGUGUCUCAUGGUGGAAAAAUUAUUGUUUUGGUGCAGGAUGAGCUCGCGGCCUAUCAGCUUGUUGGUGGGGUAAUGGCCUACCAAGGCGUCGACGGGUAGCCGGCCUGAGAGGGUGGACGGCCACAUUGGGACUGAGAUACGGCCCAGACUCCUACGGGAGGCAGCAGUGGGGAAUAUUGCACAAUGGGCGCAAGCCUGAUGCAGCGACGCCGCGUGGGGGAUGACGGCCUUCGGGUUGUAAACUCCUUUCGUUAGGGACGAAGCCACACCUUUUUUGGGUGUGGUGACGGUACCUUUGUUAAGAAGCACCGGCUAACUACGUG